GGUUUGAGAGAGGUAAGAAACCUCUUCAAAUCCCAGAGAUUUUCUCUUCUAUUUUUCAAUUUCUGCUUCUUUUUGAUUUGAAAAAUUCAAUUCAUUCGUUGUCUCACCUUUUUCUCCAUUUGAUUUGAAUUUCAAGUUCUUUUCUUUUCAAUUUUCAUCUUCUCAAUGUAUUAAUCUAUUCAUGCCUUAAUUUGUAGAAUUAAGAAUUUUUUUCAUAAUAAUGUGUUCGUUAUUUGAAUUAUGUGGGCGGAGCAACUUAAUAAUGUGUAUACUUUGUUGCAACUAGGAAUUUUCCAACAAUGAGAUUUGGUGGUAGGAUUUUGUAUAGCAAGACUACUAUUGAGGUUGAUAAGCGAGGAUUGCAGCUUCUUAAGGUUCUUGAAACCAAGAGAGAUGAAUCUGGAAAAGCUUUUGUUGGCUUUGAUAUUGAGUGGAAACCAAGAAUUAGAAAAUGUGCUUUUGUUAACCUUCAGUUUUUCCUUUUUUGUGUCUGAUUGCAGGUUUUGUCUUUUUCGUUUGCAUUUCUUAAAGUAUGCAAUGUGAUAUGCAUCUAGAACUGUAUUUUAUCUCUAUGGAUGCAUAUGUUGUCUUUUCUACUUUCUCUUUAUAUAUCUUGAUGAUUAAUGAUGAUGCUCUUGCUUUAUAUCGAAUAGAGCCUUACGGUUGUUGUUUCCUUUUUGAAUGUUCGGAUGAAAGUGUAGAAGCCUCACUAUUG